GCAGUAAGUGCCAGGCGAGGCUGUCCAGACCCUAGAGUCCCAUGGACGGAAGGGGACACAGCCAAUCAGGAGGACGAGGAGGAAUGCCCCACCCCCUGCUACCCCAGGGGAUUGUGGGAAUAAGAUGGCCGACACAGGUAGCUGUAUGUUGGAUGGAUUUUGGAAAUAUUGGGGGCCCGAGAAUUUAGGAGUCCGACAGGGAGUCCUGUGAAACCGGGAUGUCCCAGGGCAAAGCAAAGGGCAGAGCAACAUGUUCAGGCAGAGGAAGGUUCUAGUUUGCGCUGUCUCGGGUGGCCCGCACAUCUCCUGCGGCAGAGAUGCUAAGUUGAGGUCCAGCAUCACCGCGGGGGAGCUUGGGACAGACCACCUGGCAUGGGGGAGGGGCGGAAAACAUACAGUGACAUGGGAGAAUUCCAACCUUAAGGUGCCUAAAUCAGGAAGAGGACAACGCAACUUCCGGAGUCGAGAAAGAGCUGAAGAAACCGAAGCGUUCAGGAGGAAACAAUUAGGUUUUAAUUACUCGGAGGCUGUUGGUUUGGAUUGAAAUUCAUUUCCUGUGCUUCAGAAAGAGCAGUUUCCUCCUUACAAAGAAUAUCUUCCAGCAAGAGAGAGAAAAGCAGACACCUAAGGACAUCUGACAACAUGAUGACAACCACCUCCACCUUUCCAAAGGCUUGUCAAGACACAGACAAAACAGAUGUGAAGACUGAAGCUCAGAGAAGUUGAGUAGUGGAACGAUGCUUGCUGAGGGUAAGGACGUCUGCAAAAGCAAGACACUGGGCGAGUGCCCGGGAGUCAGGCAAAGGGUCCAGCAAUCGGGUUAUAGAAAAAGUUAAAAGGCACCACAGAUGAGUGUGUACAUUUCCUAACUAUGUCUAUAGUGAAUAUCACCUACAUGUAUGCACAAUAUGUGUCUCAUAUACAUGCAUGCUCAUCUGCUGUGUGCUCCCGUGGUCUUUUCUCGAAACCACAGUGGAGCAGUAGGGUUGGGGAAAGUGCAUUACUUUGGAGUUGAAUCCUGGCUGUGAUGGUGAUUCAGGAGCUGAAGGUGACCCAGAAGUGAGGGGGCUUCACCAGUCUGAUAAUCUCCUAUUCACCCCAUUGGGGAAGGAGGUGGCUGAACACAAGACACCCAACACUGGACAGAUGGGGCUGGUGACAGUUUAUUAGUCACCUGUAUUCACAGCCCUGGGGAGGAGGACACUGCAUGCCUUACUGAACGGGGCCACACAGGGGCUGCUCUCAGAAAUGGAGUGGACCAGCAGGGGCUGGGGGAGGCAGGCUUUGUAGUACCAAGAGGGAGAAGUGUCCCUGGUUCCCACAGAAGCACCUGACUUGCUUAUUCAGAUAAUUUCACAGGCUGGCAAGGAAAGUGAAAUUCAUAAGGUUGAGGAUCAGGUGGAGUGUGGCUGGUCUGGCUGAUAAGGCAGCCAGUUGGACAUGCUCCCCCUCUGGGUUGGGAGCAUAUCUGGUAAGAGCAGAGUAGCUCCUGGUUAGCCCUUUGGAGCCCUGUGAGGCUCAAAGAUGUCAAGGUAGCACUUGACAUGUUAAGCCUUACUAUGCACUUGAUCCAAGUUGAUGACUUUGACAAUGAGAGGCAGGGUGAUGGCAUAGUCUGAUAGCAUGGGAUUCUAAGCCAGGAGAUUUUAGGAUAAGGGAGAAAUGUUGUGUAAGGAGUAAUGGGGAAAACAGAGGACAUGUUCCCCACCCACUAUGUGAGACAGCUGCAGGAGCAGCAGGUCCUCAGAGGAGAUGCAGGUUUCAGUUAGGCAGUGAAAGGAUCAUUGCAGAAAAAAAAAGUGUGAGCAAUGGGGAAAUCAGCUGAUGAUGACCCAUGACUUCUAGAAGUUUGAGAGAUGGGGGGAAAGAGAGAUGUGCAGAACUGUAUGGUGAAUAGAUACAGGAGAUUAACUAGUGACACAGGAGUUUGGGGCUUCUUGUGGUGACAGAUAUAAACAAGGGUCAAGCAUCUCAGGAGAUUGGGCACAAGGGUCUCAAGGCAGAUAGUGGCAGCAAAGCUGACCACUCCAUGGACUAGGGAAGAGCAGACAGGGUCUGGUCUGGCUCUGCCAUUUAUUAUUAAAUCUUGAAUUAAUAUCUGGGCUUAUUUUCCAUGUGUAUGAAAUGAGGGAGUUGGAAUAGAAUAUUUCUUAGCUAGCUUUUAAUCCAUAAUAUAAGAUGUUAAGCAGAGCUUGCAGAGCCAUAGUAUCAGGGAAAUGACUUGCCCAAACCAGUGCAGCACCUUUAGGCCACCAUGGCCAUGCCCAGCUCACCCCGUGUGCCAAUGCACACUCUCUGUUGGAAGAACCAAGUCAGAAUUAUCCAUCAUGAUUCUUUCUCUCCAACCACUCCAUUUUGCUUCUGACUCUAUUUGCUUCUAACUUCCCUCCUUGCUUUGAUCCUCAAGUUUCCUCCUGCACACAUCUUUCUUCCUGGCUAGGAUCUUAAUGCUCUAGGAUUCUGAUUCUCUACUUGAGUCUUCAUCUCAGCCCUAUUGGAUCCAACUCAGAGCCUCCCCAGCAAGCCUCGCCUCUUUGCAUGGCAAAGACCCUGUUUAUCACAGCUUGAGUGAGAAUAGCGCAGUUAGGGCAUUCUUAGAUCUCCCUGGCUGGGCUGUACUGGUUUACACAGGGUAGGAAGCCUUUUCUCCUAUCUCUCUCCAAACACAGGUACCCUUUACAAAGCAUAAGCAGAGAAGUUCUUUUCAUGAACAUCCUGAGAUAUGGGGUGUAAGUACUGGAGUAGCAGAGCCCUGGCUUUCACGGUGGCCUUAGUUCAAAGAUUUGUUCCUCUUCCACGUGCACCAGUAAUUUCCUCCAAACAUUCCACUCAUAUCACAGAGGGGUUCUUGAAUCAGCAAGUCUGCAUAACAUUGCAGGAAGUUCACAGGCUUUCUUAGACCCACCCAAGGAUGGAUGCUCUAGAAUCCCAUAGACCUCUUAGGUUUUCUCUAAUUUGGCCAGAGUCCCUUCCUGGGAAUCUCAUUUCCUCCUUUCAGGGAGAAAUAAGAGGCUGGAAGGGUUCCAUUCCUUCCCUUGUCUCAGGGAAAUGAAAUUCCCAGGACGAAAUUUUAGACAUUCCCAUUUUGAGUGUUGGCAAAAUUAAAUUUAUUAGGCUUGGCAUGUGAAUAAGGAAAAAAAUAAAUAAAUAAAACCUUCUAUUCCCCCCUGUGCCCCAAAAUUCACAUAUCAUGAUUGAAAAAGUUCUCCCUGAGAAGCUUGUCUUUUCAGUUCAUAGCCACAAAAGUGGAUCAAAUGCUCCCCAGACAGUCCUGCCACUUGUCACUUCCACCCCUGCCAGCCCAUAUUCGUCCUUUAAAUCUGACUCCCAUUUAUAUCCUGCCCAGUGAUCAGACUGGGACUAUGGAACUUGGCUGAAAUGGCAUCUCCAUGCUACACAGUUUCUCACACACUGAUACUUAGUCAUUGUUACCAACGGCACUAAUCAUAUUAUUUAUUCUCCUUAGGACACAUAGUAACUUUCUAAUUUUUUUUCUAAUUAUUUAUAAACUUACACAUUUUGUGUGGUCAUCAGUUGUCUUCAAAGGGAACACUGACAUUUCCUGUUGUUAGCAACUGCUCUGCCUGGCAAUUGGUUAUCCGAUAUGCCUGAUUAACGAGUUUCCCUUUGACAUUUAAUAAACUGCAAUGAUUUCACAUUUAGGUAUUUCUCCACUCACUCCAUUAGGACAAAGGGUCAUAUAAAAGCUAACUUAGUGGGGUCAAUUAUAAAAAUAGAGGAAAUUUGUAUGGAUAAGUAGAAAGGAAAAGGUAUUUUUUCUAACUCAGUAUUUUGAAGUUUAAAUGUCCAGCUUUGGACAUUUGGAAUAGAUGGCAUCUUAUUUUAACACUUUUACUGUUUACAAUUUUCCUUAAAAUGUAUUUGCCAUCAACUCAAUGCUUUUGCUGUGAUUUCUUCUCUUUAACAAUAAGAUAUUAUUAAAUAAAAGGCAAAGAAGCAAAGUUUCUAUUCCAUUUUUUAAUGGAACUAGAGCUCCCAAAUUAAGAUAGACUUAAGUUUUUUAUUUUCAAAAAAAUACCCCUCAGUAUAUGUUCAUGAAAACUCUAUAUAUCCAACCAGUCAAUAUUUCAGACUAUAUUGAAAGGAAAGCAUAAUUCACAAGUCAUCAACCUACAUAAAUGCUCAAAUACCAUGCCACUGGUAAUUUGAUUUUAUGCUAGAGUAGACUUAGAUGGUAGAACUGAGAGUAUUUUUUUGAUUAUCCUUCCUUUAAAGGAAAACAUGCUCCAAAGCAACCUAGCAAAAUACCCCAAUCACUUCUUCCAGUAUGUGAUAAUUCUUAUCUUUACAUAGUUAUAGAUAUAGGAAGGAUAGAAUUUUUAAGCACCCAAACAUUUCUUCCUAAAAUACAUUCUUGCUAGUGUUUUGCUCCAGAUGAAAGUUUAAAUCUUAGGCAAA